AUACUUUCUGGAGUUUCUUGUUCGUGAAUUGUGGAACAAACGUGAAAUGGGCUUUUCAAGACAGAACAAGAGGUUGAAAACAGAGUUAGUGUUUCAAAGGUAGGACCUCCAACCGGGGUAAGAGUUCUAAGAUAUGCUUAGAUUUUCAAAGCAGGGUUCCAAGACAGGUUUGCUGAUGUGUGUAAUGUUGCACGAUUACCCUGUUCGGUGAGCCACGUUCCAUGUUUUGUGUGUGUGUGUGUGUGUGUGUGUGGUGGCCUGAUGACAGCUUCAUGACUGUUGCGAAACAUAACAGCCCACAUCUGUCCACUUCUUUUGUCAGACAUAACUGGGACAAUCCGAGUGGGAUAAAAUUGCAACUGUAUCAGAUGUUCCCCUGUCGCAGGAGGAGAGGCGGAAAGUCGGACCGGGGGGCCGCCAUCGAUUGUCUGCCAUUUGGGAUGGAUGAAGCAAGCAUCUAGCAUCAGUCAGUUAAAAGUGCAUGAUUGACAGUGUAGGAUAGUGGUUUGAAACUACCAUCAUCAUUUCCCCCCCC